UUCAAACUUUAGGGGUGUCUGUGAAGAGCAGACUGAGAUUUUACCCUUUGAACCUGAUCUGGAUUAUACCAGCGUAGGGAAAAGUGAAAUGACUUUU
rnacentral:ncRNA from 2 species